rnacentral:rRNA from 1 species
UACAGAGGGGGCAAGCGUGGUUCGGAAUUACUGGGCGUAAAGGGCGCGUAGGCGGCCUUCUAAGUCGAACGUGAAAUCCCCGGGCUCAACCCGGGAACUGCGUCCGAUACUGGAAGGCUUGAAUCCGGGAGAGGGAUGCGGAAUUCCAGGUGUAGCGGUGAAAUGCGUAGAUAUCUGGAGGAACACCGGUGGCGAAGGCGGCAUCCUGGACCGGCAUUGACGCUGAGGCGCGAAAGCCAGGGGAGCAAACGGG